UACGAAGGGUGCUAGCGUUGUUCGGAAUCAUUGGGCGUAAAGCGUGCGUAGGCGGUUUAGUAAGUCAGCUGUGAAAGCCCAGGGCUUAACCCUGGAACUGCGGUUGAAACUACUUAACUUGAGUGUGGCGGGGGAUAGUGGAAUUCCUAGUGUAGGGGUGAAAUCCGUAGAUAUUAGGAGGAACACCGGUGGCGAAAGCGACUAUCUACACCAUUACUGACGCUGAGGCACGAAAGCGUGGGGAGCAAACAGG
rnacentral:rRNA from 1 species